rnacentral:lncRNA from 1 species
CUGAUGGUGCAGUACUUGAUCCACUGUCCCUCUGGCUGUUCCUCUCUCUGUCCCUGCAUGUUUUCAUCCUCCUCAUCCUCUUCCUCAUCCUCCUCAUCCUCCUCACCCUCUUCCUCAUCCUCCUCAUCCUCCUCACCCUCUUCCUCAUCCUCCUCACCCUCUUCCUCAUGCUCCUCACCCUCUUCCUCAUCCUCUUCCUCAUCCUCACCCUCUUCCUCAUCCUCACCCUCUUCCUCAUCCUCACCCUCUUCAUCAUCCUCAUCCUCUUCCUCCUCCUCCUCACCCUCUUCCUCAUCCUCACCCUCUUCCUCAUCCUCUUCCUCCUCAUCCUCCUCACCCUCUUCCUCAUGCUCCUCACCCUCUUCCUCAUCCUCUUCCUCACCCUCUUCUUCAUCCUCAUCAUCCUCUUCCUCAUCCUCCUCAUCCUCUUCCUCAUCCUCCUCAUCCUCCUCACCAUCUUCCUCAUGCUCCUCACCCUCUUCCUCAUCCUCUUCCUCACCCUCUUCCUCAUCCUCUUCCUUACCCUCUUCUUCAUCCUCCUCAUCCUCUUCCUCAUCCUCCUCAUCCUCUUCCUCAUCCUCCUCAUCCUCCUCACCGUCUUCUUCAUGCUCCUCACCCUCUUCCUCAUCCUCAUCCUCUUCCUCAUCCUCUUCCUCACCCUCUUCCUCACCCUCUUCCUCUUCCUCCUCACCCUCUUCCUCAUGCUCCUCACCCUCUUCCUCAUCAUCUUCCUCAUCCUCUUCCUUACCCUCUUCUUCAUCAUCCUCAUCCUCUUCCUCCUCAGCCUCUGGAAUUUCCCUCUCUGUGUCAGAGCCCUCCCUCUUCAUCACAUGCCCUCUCUCCAACCUCCACCGACUCCUCUGGCCCUCCCUCUUCAUCACAUGCCCUCUCUCCAACCUCCACCGACUCCUCUGGCCCUCCCUCUUCAUCACAUGCCCUCUCUCCAACCUCCACCGACUCCUCUGGCUCUCCCUCUUCAUCACAUGCCCUCUCUCCAACCUCCACCGACUCCUCUGGCCCUCCCUCUUCAUCCUCCUCAGCUCUCUCAAUACCUUCAUUUGUUUCUCUCACUUUUUUUGUUUACUGGGGCAAAAAAGGACGCGAUAUCCCUUCCUCGUUCCUACGUAGGGGCAUGCGUUACAUUUCGUUGCCUAACCAUCCCUCCCUACUUAACAUGGACA